UACGGAGGAUCCGAGCGUUAUCCGGAUUUAUUGGGUUUAAAGGGUGCGUAGGCGGCCUGUUAAGUCAGGGGUGAAAGACGGUAGCUUAACUAUCGCAGUGCCCUUGAUACUGAUGGGCUUGAAUGUAGUUGAGGCAGGCGGAAUGUGACAAGUAGCGGUGAAAUGCAUAGAUAUGUCACAGAACACCAAUUGCGAAGGCAGCUUGCUAUGGUAUAAUUGACGCUGAGGCACGAAAGCGUGGGGAUCAAACAGG
rnacentral:rRNA from 1 species